rnacentral:rRNA from 1 species
UACGGAGGGUGCAAGCGUUAAUCGGAAUUACUGGGCGUAAAGCGUGCGUAGGCGGUUCGUUAAGUCUGUUGUGAAAGCCCCGGGCUCAACCUGGGAACGGCAAUGGAUACUGGCGAGCUAGAGUGUGUCAGAGGAUGGUGGAAUUCCCGGUGUAGCGGUGAAAUGCGUAGAGAUCGGGAGGAACAUCAGUGGCGAAGGCGGCCAUCUGGGACAACACUGACGCUGAGGCACGAAAGCGUGGGGAGCAAACAGG